rnacentral:rRNA from 1 species
UACGUAGGGGGCGAGCGUUGUCCGGAAUUAUUGGGCGUAAAGCGCGUGUAGGCGGUUUGUCGCGUCGAGGGUGAAAGGUGUGGGCUCAACCCGCACACUGCUCUCGAUACGGGCAGACUCGAGUCCGGAAGAGGAGAGUGGAAUACCGUGUGUAGCGGUGAAAUGCAUAGAUAUGACUUAGAACACCAAUUGCGAAGGCAGCUUGCUAAACAAAUAUUGACGCUGAGGCACGAAAGCGUGGGGAUCAAACAGG